AAUGAACGCUGGCGGCGUGCUUUACACAUGCAAGUCGAGCGAGGCGUGUAGCAAUACACAGUCGAGCGGCGAACGGGUGAGUAACGCGUGGAUGACCUGCCCUUCAGCGGGGAAUAACCCGGGGAGACUCGGGCUAAUACCGCAUACGACCGAGAGGUGAAAGGGGGCCGCAAGGCUCUCACUGAAGGAGGGGUCCGCGUUCGAUUAGCUAGUUGGUAGGGUAAUGGCCUACCAAGGCGACGAUCGAUAGCCGGCCUGAGAGGGUGAUCGGCCACACUGGAACUGAGACACGGUCCAGACUCCUACGGGAGGCAGCAGUGGGGAAUUCUGCGCAAUGGGCUAACGCCUGACGCAGCAACGCCGCGUGGAGGAUGAAGGUCUUUGGAUUGUAAACU
rnacentral:rRNA from 1 species